rnacentral:rRNA from 1 species
AUUGAACGCUGGCGGCAGGCCUAAUACAUGCCAGUCGAGCGGAUGAAGGGAGCUUGCUCCUGGAUUCAGCGGCGGACGGGUGAGUAAUGCCUAGGAAUCUGCCUGGUAGUGGGGGAUAACGUCCGGAAACGGGCGCUAAUACCGCAUACGUCCUGAGGGAGAAAGUGGGGGAUCUUCGGACCUCACGCUAUCAGAUGAGCCUAGGUCGGAUUAGCUAGUUGGUGGGGUAAAGGCCUACCAAGGCGACGAUCCGUAACUGGUCUGAGAGGAUGAUCAGUCACACUGGAACUGAGACACGGUCCAGACUCCUACGGGAGGCAGCAGUGGGGAAUAUUGGACAAUGGGCGAAAGCCUGAUCCAGCCAUGCCGCGUGUGUGAAGAAGGUCUUCGGAUUGUAAAGCACUUUAAGUUGGGAGGAAGGGCAGUAAGUUAAUACCUUGCUGUUUUGACGUUACCAACAGAAUAAGCACCGGCUAACUUCGUG